rnacentral:misc_RNA from 1 species
CUGUUGGGCUGUGGCUUUGCUUGUCUGGCUUUUGAGCAAAUCUGGUGCACGACUCCAUGCCUGAGAUGCUUCAAGAUUUACUGGGCGUCUUUACGGACACUAGUACAGUCUUUUAUGGCGGCCACAUUGGCGCCAAUCAUGGAGGCAUGUGGCCAUGUUUGCCGCCACAUUCGUGUUAAUGUACGAAGAGACGCACAGGAGGAUCGAGAUCUUUUGAUUGUGU